AAAGAGCGCGUAGGCGGUCUUUUAAGUCAGACGUGAAAGCCCUGGGCUCAACCCGGGAAUUGCGUUUGAUACUGGAAGACUAGAGGUUCAAAGAGGUGAGUGGAAUUCCUAGUGUAGAGGUGAAAUUCGUAGAUAUUAGGAGGAACAUCAGUGGCGAAGGCGACUCACUGGUUGAAUACUGACGCUAAGGCGCGAAAGCGUGGGGAGCAAACAGGAUUAGAUACCCUAGU
rnacentral:rRNA from 1 species